rnacentral:lncRNA from 1 species
CAAACUUCAUAAAUAACAUUCUGAUAUGUCGGUCAUAAAUUCGAAUGUACAUUUUUGUGUCGUAUUUUGUUAAUAUGGGGACUAGCUAACAGUCGUGGGUCGUGGGUAGAAUGUCGUGGGUCGUGGGUAAAAAGUCGUGGGUCGUGGAUAAAAAGGCGUGGGUCGUGGGUAAAAAGGCGUGGGUCGUGGGUAAAAAGGCGUGGGUCGUGGGUAAAAAAUCGUGGGUCCCGAAUAAAAAGUCGUGGGUUCCAAGCAAAAUAUUUCCAUAUAUUUACCUUUCUCCCUUUGGNNNNNNNNNNNNNNNNNNNNACAGUCGUGGGUCGUGGGUCGUGGGUAGAAUGUCGUGGGUCGUGGGUAGAAUGUCGUGGGUCGUGGGUAAAAAGUCGUGGGUCGUGGGUAAAAAGUCGUAAGUCGUGGGUAAAAAGUCGUAAGUCGUGGGUAAAAAGGCGUGGGUCGUGGGUAAAUAGGCGUGGGUCGUGGGUAAAAAGGCGUGGGUCGUGGGUAAAAAGGCGUGGGUCGUGGGUAAAAAGGCGUGGGUCGUGGGUAAAAAGGCGUGGGUCGUGGGUAAAAAGGCGUGGGUCGUGGGUAAAAAGGCGUGGGUCGUGGGUAAAAAGGCGUGGGUCGUGGGUAAAAAAUCGUGGGUCCCGAAUAAAAAGUCGUGGGUUCCAAGCAAAAUAUUUCCAUAUAUUUACCUUUCUCCCUUUGGAAUGCGUGUUUUUUUUUUCUUCUGAGGCUUUCCCAAACUAUGCCCAAAUAUGCAUAGCUUAGAGCGCGUUAAGGCCGGGUUUUUGAUAUCGGCAGAUCGGUUUAUAAAUAUUAUAACCAAGUGUGGAUGAAACAGUUCAACUUCAAGCCCCAUAUAGCUCAAAUAUUUGGACGUUAUAAUCUUAUAGACAGAUAAAUAUUGUAAUUCUUCAAUAGGAAAUAGUGCUGUCAAGCCUGUCAUAAAUAGCUAAAUUCUGACAUUCAGGGCUUCACUAAUUUGUUGAUCGAUGUUCUUACAGUAAUAAGCGAGAAAUUUCCACUUGGACAGUGUUAAUUUAAUGCAAUGUCUGUUAAUUUACUAGGGAAAAAUAAAAGAAAGCAUUUGAGAGAUUUCAC